rnacentral:rRNA from 1 species
GAUGAACGCUAGCGGGAGGCUUAAUACAUGCAAGUCGAACGGUAAGGUCUAGCUUGCUAGAUACACGAGUGGCGCACGGGUGAGUAACGCGUACACAAUCUACCCUUCAGUGGGGAAUAGCCCCGGGAAACUGGGAUUAAUGCCCCAUAGUAUUAUUUUUUUAUAUAAUUAAUAAUUAAAGCUCCGGCGCUGAAGGAUGAGUGUGCGUCCCAUUAGCUAGUUGGUAAGGUAACGGCUUACCAAGGCGACGAUGGGUAGGGGGCGUGAGAGCGUGGCCCCCCACACGGGUACUGAGACACGGACCCGACUCCUACGGGAGGCAGCAGUAAGGAAUAUUGGACAAUGGGCGAAAGCCUGAUCCAGCCAUCCCGCGUGCAGGAUGACGGCCCUAUGGGUUGUAAACUGCUUUUUUAUGGGAAGAAAAACUCUCAUUUAUGAGAGACUGACGGUACCAUACGAAUAAGCACCGGCUAACUCCG